GAUGAACGCUGGCGGCGUGCCUAAUACAUGCAAGUCGAGCGAAUGGAUUAAGAGCUUGCUCUUAUGAAGUUAGCGGCGGACGGGUGAGUAACACGUGGGUAACCUGCCCAUAAGACUGGGAUAACUCCGGGAAACCGGGGCUAAUACCGGAUAAUAUUUUGAACUGCAUGGUUCAAAAUUGAAGGGCGGCUUCGGCUGUCACUUAUGGACGGACCCGCGUCGCAUUGGCUAGUUGGUGAGGUAACGGCUCACCAAGGCAACGAUGCGUAGCCGACCUGAGAGGGUGAUCGGCCACACUGGGACUGGGACACGGCCCAGACUCCUACGGGAGGCAGCAGUAGGGAAUCUUCCGCAAUGGACGAAAGUCUGACGGAGCAACGCCGCGUGAGUGAUGAAGGCUUUCGGGUCGUAAAACUCUGUUGUUAGGGAAGAACAAGUGCUAGUUGAAUAAGCUGGCACCUUGACGGUACCUAACCAGAAAGCCACGGCUAACUACGUGCCAGCCGCCGCCGUAA
rnacentral:rRNA from 1 species